ACAGCAGCCGCCGCGGUAAUACGAAGGGUGCAAGCGUUACUCGGAAUUACUGGGCGUAAAGCGUGCGUAGGUGGUGGUUUAAGUCCGUUGUGAAAGCCCUGGGCUCAACCUGGGAAUUGCAGUGGAUACUGGGUCGCUAGAGUGUGGUAGAGGAUGGUGGAAUUUCCGGUGUAGCAGUGAAAUGCGUAGAGAUCGGAAGGAACAUCUGUGGCGAAGGCGACUAUCUGGGCCAACACUGACACUGAGGCACGAAAGCGUGGGGAGCAAACAGGAUUAGAGACCCCCGUAGUCCCUGUCUCUUAUAC
rnacentral:rRNA from 1 species